UUUGGAAGCUUGCUUUUGGACAUACUUAGUGGCGGACGGGUGAGUAAUGCAUGAGCAACCUGCCUUCAAGAGGGGGAUAACACAUGGAAACGUGUGCUAAUACCGCAUAGACGUACGGACGGCAUCGUUUGUACGGGAAAGGAGCAAUCCGCUUGAAGAUGGGCUCAUGUCCGAUUAGGUUGUUGGUGAGGUAACGGCUCACCAAGCCUGCGAUCGGUAGCCGGACUGAGAGGUUGAACGGCCACAUUGGAACUGAGAUACGGUCCAGACUCC
rnacentral:rRNA from 1 species